rnacentral:tRNA from 1 species
GGAAUGGUACUCAAGUGGUUAAGAGGGGCCCCUGCUAAGGGCCUAGGCGUGUAACAGCGUGCGUAGGUUCAAAUCCUACCCAUUCCG